rnacentral:rRNA from 1 species
GACGAACGCUGGCGGCGUGCUUAACACAUGCAAGUCGAACGGAAAGGCCCUGCUUGCAGGGUACUCGAGUGGCGAACGGGUGAGUAACACGUGGGUGAUCUGCCUUGCACUUCGGGAUAAGCCUGGGAAACUGGGUCUAAUACCGGAUAGGACCAUGCUUUAGUGUGUGUGGUGGAAAGUUUUUCGGUGCAAGAUGAGCCCGCGGCCUAUCAGCUUGUUGGUGGGGUAAUGGCCUACCAAGGCGACGACGGGUAGCCGGCCUGAGAGGGUGUACGGCCACAUUGGGACUGAGACACGGCCCAGACUCCUACGGGAGGCAGCAGUGGGGAAUAUUGCACAAUGGGCGCAAGCCUGAUGCAGCGACGCCGCGUGGGGGAUGAAGGCCUUCGGGUUGUAAACUCCUUUCGCUAGGGAAGAAGCCACUUGUGGUGACGGUACCUGGAUAAGAAGCACCGGCUAACUACGUG